rnacentral:sRNA from 1 species
CGUCGAAUUCCGACGUACGGUCCUAAAGUUACGCCAAGAACGGAUAAUUACGACUUAAAGCAUUUGAUCGCGCGUACACAUGUAGGUGCGAUCAUACCAGCACUAAUGCACUGGAUCCCAUCAGAACUCCGCAGUUAAGCGUGAUUGGGCAAGAGUAGUACUAGGAUGGGUGACCUCCUGGGAAGUCCUCGUGUUGCACCUCU